CUGCUUGCUGAAGUUUUACAAAGAACCAGCCCCACAUUAAGAAACAGGAUAUUAUCAGUACCCCAGAAACGCCCACAAAGCUUGUGGGAUCUCAGUUCCCCAACCAGGGAAUGAACCCGGGCCACAGCCGUGAACACCCGGAAUCCUAACCACUGGACCACCAGGGAACUUCCCAGCAUGUUGUUUCUUCAUUCUUCUUGCGGUAUAAUGUUCUAUUGUGUGACUACACCACUGUUGACAGUCAUGAGCUGGGUCAAAAUGAAUCUUGCUGUGAUUUAUGUUGUAGAGUGGAGAACAGUAUUUCUUACAGUCUGUAGACCAGAAUCA